GUGGAUCCGGUUUUGUCAGCGUGCCUUUCUCUGCUGGCUUUUCCUGUGUCCCUUUAUUACCGAGCGGUGGAGAUGGUUCCCUCAAUGGGGGAAAUAAAUCCCUGCUGGAGAACAGGAAGGUCUCGCAGGGCGAGAGCAGGCAGGAGUCCAUGAGUGCAGCAUCUCUUUCCCUCUCCCAGGCGUCUUCUUCCUUGGUGCCGGAUUGCUUUAUCACACGCUACAUCUUGCUCUUGUAUGAUUCCUUCUGAAUCCUAAGGAGCUCUAAUAGCUGUGUUUGGAAAGCGCCUGACCUGACCCCUGUUACCCAGCCAUUUGCUUGAUUAACCAGAUGCUAAAACACCCUUCCUAAGGUGAGCAUGAAGGCCACUACUUCCUACUAAUCCAGUCAUCUUCUGAGGACAUAGCUCAGUCCUGAGGCCCGUGAGAAAUGAACCUAUUUAUUCUGGCUCAGGAGAGGAAUUGGAUGGAUCUAUAUUAUACAUCUGAAAUAAAAGCAAACCAUCAGAAAUUCAGGAGCUAACAGCCUGGGGAGCCAGCCCGCCACCUCCCGAAGCACGAUCAGGUGGUGUAUAGCCAUCCUUCUCCCCACAUUUGUUGACUUGUCCUUGGGGAUGAAGGGACCUGUCUGUCCAUGCUGUGACCCUGGCCUGGGCGGACCAACGAACUCUGUUGGGUCUCUCUGAAAGUCCCAGCUAGCUUUUUGCCUUCAUUUCUUGGAUUUUUUAGAUUGAGAAUAAUAUGACCCCAUCACCAAGGAAGCAGUUGCAUGGCUUAAGUCACUCAUAUUUGGGCAGGGCGCUUUGACUGCAUUGCAUUGCAGGUGCCACAGAAGGGCAAUGUGUCAUAGUGAUAUUUUUGUCUUUCUAGUGACCUGUCUCAUAAGCCACCGAGUGCCUCAACUCCACAUACAGAUGCCCAGUAACUACCUGUCCAACUUGCCCAAUGUAGCCAGGCUCCAGUACUGCCGUGCUGCCGCCAAGCCUGAGCCUGUCUUUCAGAGGUUGGCCAUCGAUUGCAAUUGCAAAGGAAGAUCUUGUUUUCCGAAGGGCAGAAUUGAACAUCUCGCCUCUGUGCCGUGCAUUAUCUCUCCGGGCAUGCAAAACAUGACUGUAUUUCCCACUGUUUUAUUUACUGGCUUUUUUUUUUCCAUUUACUGAGAAAAAACCUUAUUUGGUACUUUUUUUGUGUGUGUGCAUGGUGUGUGUGUGUGUGUGUAUAUGUUUAGGAGGUUAAAAAAAAUUUCUUGCUGUCAGCAAGUGAUGUUACAAACCUGCUCUGACAAGGCUGGUUGUAUAUUUACAGUUGGUGAGAGCGAAGGCUUCAUCAAUCUUCACGCUUUGAAAGGGACAGGCCCGCUCCCAUGAGCACCUGCUCCGGGAGAACAGCUGAACUGUGACUUUCCAGGGAGCUGGCUGUAAAUUUUAGCCAUUCCCCCCGCAGCCCACGCAUGCUUGAGCUUUUUAACCUUCCCAGGCUGGCAGGAGUCCCAGCAAUCAGCUUAGUGCAAAGACUGGGGUUCUUUUUAAUUAACCUUUUGUUUCCCACUGCAGGUGUUUCAAAGUUUCUUGAUGUUAAAAAGGGAAGAAAAAAAAAAUUGGCUGCAAAGGUGCGGCCCCAUGCUUCCCCCCACCUUCUCCCCGCUCCGUGAUCAAAUGGGACAGGUCUUCCUCUCAUUUCCCCUCCACGCUUACGGUUCCCUGGCACACACGUCUAUAACAACAUCCACUGGGAAGUACUUCUGACAUGUGGUUUCCUUCAGGCAUCCGUAGAAGGGCUGUUCCACGGCCCGAUAUCGCAAGGUCAUUCUUACUUCCUGGGUCAUUUUGCAUCGCCAUCCCACCGCGCUUUUCCCAUGCCGCUUUUUAAAAAACUUUUUCUGUGACUUGACUCCCUUUCGGACUAAUUAGCCCUAGUCCGUCUGAGUCUGGGCAGCCAGGCAAAGGAAGUCCGGCUGUAAGAAAGCAAGCCUGGCUGCAGGCUCUCCGGGUGCCGACACGAUGCCCUCCUUGCCUGCUACUGGUGCCAUUACUCAACUGGAGAACAAAGAACGCUUCCUGAUCGCUCUGUGUGCUCAGACAUUAAUUUUGUUAAUCACACAGGCCAGCGAUUUAGCUGACACAAUUUAGGACGUGAGAUAUCCUGAAGGAAAGCAGGGGGGCGCGAUCUGGAGAGGACUCGAGACUUUCCAGGAUUCUCUCUCUAAGAGGAUUUGCUUUGCUGUCACUUGGUUGUGUCUUUAGUGAGGAAAGCUAUCCUUUGUUAUCAAGAAGAAUGAAACAGGAUCCCAGGUCCAGGCUAUGAAAGAAGCCUUUGCAAACCAGGCUCAGCGAGGAUGUUAUCUAUCUCCACAGAACUUCAUUGAAGCUUUCAGAUAGUAUAUAUGGCCUGUUUAUGAGCCCCCCAAAUUACUCAUUAGGCUUUUGCAGAGGAAUCCACUGUAGAAUUGCAUCCUGUCAUUAAGAAACUUCAGAAAAUGACACGACUGAGCCAGAUGGAAGAUCUGGUUGCUCCAAGCAUGGGGGACAACGGGAAUGCUGACAGUGUAAGAUACCUUUCCAGGAGAAUUAAGUUCCCUAACCUUGGUGAGAGCCGUUCUUCACUCUGCUGGUGACAUGCAGUAUAUGGUACCAUCACAGCACUUUAAAGCGCUUUACUUUUUCUAAGUAAUUCAUCCUCGGGACAUCCCAGGUAGACAAAUACUAUCACUUUCAUUGUAUAGGUGGGAAAACUGGGGCCAUGUCAAGUGAAGUGCUUUACCAAGGAUACAGAACAAAUCGAUAUCAGAGCUGGGAGCAAAGUUGUGAGUGCCCACCACCGAGGCUUGAUUUCAGGCCACCCAGCUGAGGUUCCCUAUCUGUGCAAUGUUAAUUCGUCUUCUCUGGGUGUCCCUGGCUGUCCAGCUCAGUCGGUCUUUGUCCUCUCCAUCUCCCACCACCUUGUUCUUCAGUAAGUCCUCACUCAUAUUCUCUCAGUGGAUAUGGAAACUAUCUGAGAUAGCAGUAAUGGGCCUCUUCUCUCUGGACCUCAUUUCACUGGCAUUCAUCCCCUGCUUCUCUGUAUGAUGAUCACUAACUAGUCCAUUGUGUUGAAUCCCAAAAGACAGACACCUGCUCAUCUUUGGAUACGUCGGGGCGAUCCACCCUGGUCUCUGCCAACUUGGAAGAGACGGUCAUAAGCUUGUUUCCAGCUGUGAGUGUAUUGAAUGGCAGGAAGCAGAGCAGCCAAACAAAUGAGCAUUUUUUUUUUUAAAUAGGACCUUGUGGUGAUCUGUUAUCACCCUUAUAGUAGAGGCUAGGAGCCCCUUUCAUAGACUAUGGUGCUAGGUAUUGUACAAAUGCAGAGUAAGACACAGCCUUGACUGGCCUGAUGUAAGGCUUGGAUUUCUAUCGCGGGCGGCUCAGGAGCACGGAGAAGGGUCAGCACUGUAAUCCGAGUUACCCUGGGCUGAGGACAUAGUAAGUCUAUCGACAAUAGUGGUGUUGUUCCAAAUUGACACAUCGCAGACGAGAUGAGCGUGGCCCAAAAUGGCAAUGUGCGUCUCCCCAGCACAUUUCUUUAGCAAAUUGCAUUUUUUGUUUCACUGCUGUUUUUAAGCUGAGUUUUUGCAGCUACAUCUCGCAGCCCUGCAGGGCCCCGGUGAGGUUUCUGCGCUGAGAUGAUGCCUCACUUUGCAUACUUGUCUCAGAGGGGAAAGUGACUAUGAUGGCAUUUCAGCAUAUAUUUCAUAUUGUUCUGUGCGAAUAACAGGAUCUGAUGAUUGAAAUCUAAUACCUGGGAACCAAAAUGAAUUGUUUGCCUUCUCAUGAAAUGCUGCGCCUCUGCGCUUCCUUCUCAUUUGCACACACACACACAAGUGCAUGCAUGCACACACACUCUCACCGGGGCUUCAUAAUACAGCAAAUUGCUUAUACACAUGUAAGCAAAUAUCUUCUCAAAUUAUCUCUUAUCACCAAAUGGGGUGUGAUGCUUGUUGUUCAAGGGGCUGAGGUUGCCUUUCAAUCUGCCGGGGCCGGCCUGACACCAAAAAUAAACAGCAUAAGCCUGGAACGGUUGUCGCAAGGGGCAGAAAGAACUUGUCAGGCGGGAGUGUGUGAGCCGGCAAGAUGAUAAUGUGGCAUGACACUUCUGAAAUGAGACACCGGUUGCCAUGGUGAGGAGUCAGGAGGGACUAUCUCUCCAGAGGCUGAAAUAAAACAUGCUUUAAAUGAUGUUUGAUUAGAAUUUAGAUCAUGUAACUGAGUGGCUGGACCCGGUUUUUCCUUUUACCCAUUGUCGUCGUCGGCUUCGGCUGCUGGCGGAGUUCACUCUCAGAAGAAAGGGUUCUGGAUUCGGCGCGACCCCCCCUACCUUGCACGCCCAACGUGCGGAGAGGUUACUUAGUCCCAUGCCCCAGUCAGUUAUGCUCCUUGCUAACUCUGCUUGCAUUUUCCACUUGAGCCCAUCUUAGUUUAAGCCAGUUAAAAAAUGAUUCCCUCUGUUCUGCAAAGCGCUUAAUCAAUAGCACCCUGAGAAUAUUCCCCUCCUUACUUGGCUUUUUCCCGGAGUGGUCUAACUCAGGGUAUCAGUCGCCUUGUUAAUCUAUAUUAAGGAUACAGCCCGUGAAAGGUUAGGCACAAUAGUCCUCUUGUGCUCUUCGUAUUAAAGCGAGAGGGUGCGUGCAUGUGAAAGGGAUCAUCUCAAAUCGUGAAAAGAACUUGGAAAAGCAUAAUUGAGAGGCCAAUGCAAAACCAAGCGCAGCUUGUCGCUGCUGCCUCACAAAUGGGACGGGAGAGUUCAAAAUGAAUUUUUACGUGUUGCAAUGUCACCUGCAAAACGCACUAAAUGAAUUGUCAGGUUUUUUCAAAAUAGCCCCUAGGAGAAAGAGAGAUGUGGGGGGUGGCUCAUGGGCUGGUUCUGGGAUAUAGAGCUUUACACCACUUGGUUGCUCGUAAAGAUGUCCAGGUACUUAACAAGCAUCUUGCAGAAGGUAUGCAACAAUUCCUGUUCCUGUCAUUCAUUAUUUGUAUACAAGGCAUACAAAAAACAAGAACUCUAGCUUCCAAAAUGAUACCUUUUAUUAGACCAAGUGGGAAAUCGCAAGAAAAUUCUCCUUUUCUGCCAAGGAGCCUUCAACAGUUAUGGAGCAGCUGGGAUCCUGAGAAAAGCAGUUGUUCAAAUAAAGCAACCAAAACCAGCAAAGGCAUCGAGUAGGAAAACAUUCUCGAUGGUAAGAACCGGUGGGCCAGCUCCUCGGUUGGUCUAAGUUAAGGCAGCUUCAUUGAAACGAGUGGUUGUGCAGUGGCUUACACCUGCAGGGAACCGGAACUUAAAAAUCUGCUAAUAGUCCACUCGACUUGGUCAGUGGAAGCUGUUGGUAUCUGAUGCCUUUUUUGGUAGCGGAGGUGAACUAAAUUUGAUGGUCUCGCUACCAUCAGCAGAUGUGGGUCCGUUUCGUAUAACCCAAUACCACCAAUGGCAUUAGUCAGCUGAAGGCAAAUGAAUGAUCGUGGAGA